AUUGAACGCUGGCGGCAGGCCUAACACAUGCAAGUCGAACGAGUGGCGGACGGGUGAGUAAUGUCUGGGAAACUGCCCGAUGGAGGGGGAUAACUACUGGAAACGGUAGCUAAUACCGCAUACCAUCGGAUGUGCCCAGAUGGGAUUAGCUUGUAGGUGGGGUAACGGCUCACCUAGGCGACGAUCCCUAGCUGGUCUGAGCGGAUGACCAGCCACACUGGGACUGAGACACGGUCCAGACUCCUACGGGAGGCAGCAGUGGGGAAUAUUGCACAAUGGGCGCAAGCCUGAUGCAGCCAUGCCGCGUGUAUGAAGAAGGCCUUCGGGUUGUAAAGUACUUUCAGCGAGGAGGCGUUACUCGCAGAAGAAGCACCGGCUAACUCCGUGCCAGCAGCCGCGGUAAUAC
rnacentral:rRNA from 1 species